AAGUCUUCGAGGUUGAUCACUUGAUUUAUCGGUGGAUGAAGAACAUAGCUCGCUGUGAGAACAAAUGUGAAUUGUAGGACACACGGAUUAUUGACACUUCAAAUACACCGCAUCUCCCUGGAUCCCAUCGCCUGUCUGAGUGUCG
rnacentral:rRNA from 1 species